UCCCAAAGUGUUGGGGUUACAGGCGUGAGCCACCACGCCCGGCUGUCAGUCAGUUUUCAAGUGCCUGCUGGGUGCCCCCAAGAGCUGUGGAAGAUUUGCAGAAACAUCCUGGCAACCCUUAUCCCUCUCACUCUCAGGUCUUCCUUUUUGGCAUACUCUUCAAGGCCUUUUUGGCCUUGAAGAAUGAGGAAGAUGUAUGAAGGAAGCAAUUGAUACUGUAGAGUGGUUCUGUCAGAGGGAAAAUACCUUUAAAUCAUCCACAGGAAUGACCGGCCUUCAAAUACAGCUCAGUAUUGAGGAAUGAAUGCACCUGUAGGGCGGAAUCUAGUCUAUUCUCUGCUUCUUAGCAACCUGGUUCCCUCAGCCCUGCAAGGUAGAUGAAUGGGUGUGUGUCCCGUCCUGGGUUAUUCAGAGAACAGAAGCCUUCCUCUUCACACCAGUGGGCUCAAGUUUUUACUUGUAAUUUUAGACAAUCCUCAGGACUUGUUCCAUAAUUAUGCAUUUUCACAGAUAAAAGACUCAUCAGUAAAGAUAUCAUGAGAAUUUCCAGAGUAAAUACUUAGGGGUGUCAUUCACACCAGCCGGAUUAUGUGUUCUCCGGAUCUAACCAUCCGCAGAGAAAUUCGUGAGAAUGUGAGCGGCUCCUCUCACCUCGAUGAGUUCUUCAGCCCCGCCGCUCAUUGACUUGAACCGCUGCAAAGUCAUGCAAUGGUGGACAGAGCCCUGAUCAGAAGCCCAUCCUGGGAAUUUGGGACAAGGACCGGGAGAGAUUCAGAGUCCCUUCCUGUGGCUGGAACCGUGAGAGAGAGAGAGAGACCUCAGAGGAGAGAGGAGGAAGGGAGAGAGAUCCAGAGGUGUCCAGGGUUGCAAAUGAGCAUCGUGAAGACCAAAAGACCUGCAGCAAGAGGGAGGAAGCAAGGACUGGAAAAUCUACACGAGGAAUGCCCAAACUCUCCAACAAGCUAGAAAAUUCAUUGUGAAUGGGGUUCAGUCUUCCACACUGCCUGUUGUUCCAUCCUCAGUGCUGGGCCCAAGGCUUCUUACUUCAGAGAAAAAUGGGCAAACUCCCAUACUUAUGUAAAAGCAGAAUGAAAGCCCCCGCCCUUUACUUACUGUUUUAGUAUCAACACAAUGCAGAGAUUCUUACAUAAUAAAGAACUAACAGUAACACUUAGCAACCAUGGCUCACAGCCCUUCUCAGCUCCCCAACAUUCCUUCUAGAGAUAUGAAGCCUGUCAUCACCAGCUAGGCAGAGGACAAACAUUCCCAAUGAAGAUAGACAACCCAGGCUCUGCAACGUCUCAGCCAGAAGCGUUGAGUUGUUUUUAAUUUUUUACAUACUCCAUGCCUCUGGUGCCUCUCCACCUCCACC